CAGGAGUGAAGGCAGAUGUGGAGGCACACGGGUGACACCAGACACACACCAAGCACAUUGUUCGGACAUUCAAUCAUGACAUGAUCCAUGUGGAUGCUGUCCAUUGAGGAAAGAGUUUGUUCAGAGGUUUCUGGACAGAAUUAAUCCCAAAGAUGGGAAAAAGUGCACAUCCACACAAGGAGCAAGCAAAAAGACAAGGAACUUGGUGCAGAGAAAAGCUGUGGCCAUUAACCCCCAUGUGAACAGCUUCAUGCAGUCCCUGAUAGAGUUUGAAUGGGCGACUUCAAACUAAAGGCCAGUGUCAGUCUGCCACAGUUUAAUGCAUUUAUUUUUAGUGUUCAAUAAAAUUCAAAUAGAAUAUUUAAAACUAUGGGCCAGUGUUCUUUUUACCACAGUUAAAUGUUACCUUUUAGUUGAUGAUGGACUUAAAACUUCAAACUAUGGAACAGUGUUCUUUUUACCACAGUGAAAUGUUACCUUUUAGUCGAUGAUGGACUUUAAACUGAAAACUUCAAACUAUGGACCAGUGUUCUAUUUGCCAGAGUUAAAUAUAUUACAGCAG